UGGAGGAACACAAACCUGCACCUCAAAAUGUUUUAAAGCAAGACCUGGAGGUGGACCAGGAUAAGAAAAAUAACAAAGAGCAGGGUGAGGAAGCACCAGCUGUGGCUCCCAGUAGGAAAGGGAGUUCAUCCACUGCAGGUGGCAUUAAAGGAGACAAAACGAAGCAAAACGAGCCUGAAUCCCCUAGUGAGAAGGAAGUGGAGG